rnacentral:rRNA from 1 species
UCCAAAUUCUCAACGAUGGAUAUCUUGGUUCCCAUAACGAUGAAGAACGCAGCGAAGUGCGAUAAGCAAUGCGAAUUGCAGAACCGUGAGUCAUCAGAUUUUUGAACGCAACUGGCGCGAGGUGGCUCUCCAGUCGGCAUGCUUGUUUCAGUG